rnacentral:rRNA from 1 species
UACGUAGGGUGCAAGCGUUGUCCGGAAUUAUUGGGCGUAAAGAGCUCGUAGGCGGUCUGUCGCGUCUGCUGUGAAAUCCCGGGGCUCAACCCCGGGCUUGCAGUGGAUACGGGCAGACUAGAGUUCGGUAGGGGAGAUUGGAAUUCCUGGUGUAGCGGUGGAAUGCGCAGAUAUCAGGAGGAACACCGAUGGCGAAGGCAGAUCUCUGGGCCGUAACUGACGCUGAGGAGCGAAAGCAUGGGGAGCGAACAGG